GCGAGACUGCCAGUGAUAAAACUGGGAGGAAGGUGGGGAUGACGUCAAAUCAUCAUGCCCCUUAUGACCUGGGCUACAAACGUGAUACAAUGGCUGGAACAAAGGGAUGCGAAGCAGUGAUGUGGAGCGAAACCCAUAAAACCGAUCGUAGUCCGGAUCGCAGUCUGCAACUCGACUGCGUGAAGUCGGAAUCGCUAGUAAUCGUGAAUCAGAAUGUCACGGUGAAUACGUUCCCGGGCCUU
rnacentral:rRNA from 1 species